rnacentral:rRNA from 1 species
UACGGAGGGUGCGAGCGUUGUCCGGAAUCACUGGGCGUAAAGGGCGCGUAGGUGGCCCGUGGAAGUCUGCGGUGAAAGCCCGGCGCUCAACGCCGGGUCGGCCGUGGAUACUCUCGGGCUUGAGCUUACUAGAGGCAGAUGGAAUUCCGGGUGUAGCGGUGGAAUGCGUAGAGAUCGGGAGGAACACCAGUGGCGAAGGCGGCCUUCUGGACCAGCACUGACACUCAAGCACGAAAGCGUGGGGAGCAAACAGG